UUUAAUAAACAUGACAAUGUUAUCAGUAAAAAAUAGUUCUAUAUUAGGGCUUGUUUGUUUGCACGAAAGUGGGGUGGAAGUGGGAAGGGAAAGUAAUUUUCCGUGAAAACUACCCACUUCCGUUAUUUGGUUCACCGUAAUUUUAUUACGCCCGAAAGUCCAGUUCACCCAAAAUAAUGAAAUUGACUUCGUCCUCCCAUAGGGCGAAGUCAAUUCCGGUGAAGUGAAAAAAAAGGCAAGAGUGGGAUUAAUGUGUUAGGAUUACCUCUUCUUUACCCUUUCAUUCAAAUAUAUUCAAUUGUGAAAGUAAUUAAAUUUUUUAUUUUGAUUGUAUGUCUAAACUAUUAUCAAAUUUGGUUCGGUAAGUUUUAAUAUAUUUUUUGUUUAAUAUAUAUAUUUAGAAAAUGAUGAAAAAUAAAUUUGUUAAAAGUUAAUAAUUUUUUAACUUUAGAAUUUUAUUUGUUACAUUAUUAUAAUUUAUAUGCAAAUAAAUAAUAUAAUUUUUUUAAGUUUUAUUUUAUAAUUAUACAUAUAUAUAAUUAUAUACAUAUAUAAUUAUAUUAAUUUUUAUUUAUUAUAAUUUAUUAUUCACUAUAAGUUACAAAAUAGACAAUAAUAUCACUUCAGAGAUAAGUAUACCGGGGGUGAAGAGCUACACUUUUUACGUCAUCUACUUUCUACCAAACAAACAAUAGAACUCGCAGAACUGCACUUCCACAGUUAGAAACAAACAGCAGAAGUGAACUAAUUUUUAUCCCAACUCCACUUCAACCUAAAAUCCACUUCCUCCUCAAAUCUACUUGCGUUGAAAUAAAAAUACCCUAAAUAUCCGUACUCAGUUGGGCUGUGUGGAAAGAUGCUCGUGGUCUGUAAUUUGCAGUUAGAAGAUGAACUUAAAUGCUCUUUAACUAUGGCUGUCAGGAAAGAUAAUUAAAUAAUAUAUCGUCAGAAUUGGAUACAUGGUUUUGUGGGUGCUUGCUUAAGUAAGUAAUGUCAUCUCAUAUUUAAUGCAUAAUAAAACACCUGCUGUUGAUUUGCAUAUAUAGCUCUACCCGGACUAGAACCCGGACAACGACAUUUAUUGAUUUGCAAGAGGAACGGUGGGAUUAGGGGUGGAAACGAGCCGAGCUCGAGCGAGCUUACCUCGGCUCAAAUUCGGCUUGAAAUUAAUUUCGAGCCUAAAUUUAAGCUCAAGCUUGGAUUGAAAUUAAUUCGAGCCNNNNNNNNNNNNNNNNNNNNNNNNNUAUAUAUAUAUAUAUAUAUAUAUAUAUAGUGUAGAACUAUUAUGCUAUCGAAAAUAUAGAGGAUUUGAUGUUUUUAAAUUUUUGACCCUUUGCUUAAAAAUUGUAUGGUUGGGAUGAUUGCGGUCUCCUCUAUGAUUAAAUAAUACUCUUAGGAUUCAGUGGUCUCUACAAAGUAAUAAUAAUAUUAAUCUAAAGAUAAGAAACGAUUAAAGAAAUUGAUCUAAGAAUCAAAAAAUCGAAAGCACCAGAUCUCUAUACUUUCAAUAGCAUAGUAGCUCUACUAUAUAUAUAUAUUCGAGCUUUUCGAGCUUUUCGAGCCUAAUUCGAACGAGCCGAGUAAUACUCAAGCUCGACUUGAAAUGAAUUUCGAGCCUUUUUUUUUGUUCAAGCUCGGCUCAUUUAAUUUCGAGUCGAGCUCGAGCGAGCCAAAUAUCGAGUCGAACGCGAGUCGAACGCGAGCCGGCUCGCUCAUUUGCCAGCCCUAGGUGGGAUGAUGAACACCAGGCGCACGGAUAUACAGUUUCACUCAAAAGUAGACAACUUUAUAACUCAAAAGAUUCUCUUCUUUGAU
rnacentral:lncRNA from 1 species